UUUGACGGGAGUAUCGACGAUCGCGUGGGGACGAAGCUUUAUUUAGAAAUUGGUGAACAGAAGAGUGUCGAACGGGAAAAACUCCGAAGGAAGAAAACAGGCCACAAUCACUGUGGCGGUUAGAAUAAUCGAGAAGGUACCCGGUAUUGCCCGGUAUUUUCAAGAAUUGAUGGUAUUUAUUCCGUUAGAUCAGAAUCCGACCAUGGAAAUGUGAAACUCAAUAUCCUUCGUAAAGUUUCUGAAAAGUGAGUCCUGAUAGAAACGAUGGCGAGGAGUAUUCCGGUUCGGCUAUCAAUAUGGAAUUUCUGAUUGAGGCAAGAAUCCAACUAGCAAGAAUCCGACCACCGCUCAGGAAGACCACCUCUGGCAUGCAUACGCUUUGCUUCAUUCACUGUGCAAUAACAGCCGUACUCCGAAGAUCUUUGUGCAUCCUCAGUGCAAUGACUCCCUGAACCGACAUGUCGAUGACCUUCCAUCCACGAACUUAAAUAGCCGUGCGGUUCUUUGUUCGGGAAUGCUUUCAAAUUCUUGCGUGUUGCAGUGAGGCGCCCCAGUUGGAGUUGUUCCGGAAUUUAGAUCCCCUAGCGGAUUCACAUCGUCAACUUCUGGCUUUCCAAGAAUGCGCUGGUUGCAAAUCGUAUUAUCAUGGUCACUAAGCAUCAACUAAUUAAGGCUAGUAAUACUGACGCAAAACGAUAAACGCCGAAGAUUGAUCGACCAAUCUGCAGCAGUCGAGGGUGAUAAAUUUCCCCAUUUAUUGUGCUAAUUCGUUGAUUUUGCUGCUGGAUUAUGCGCUGGAGAUCCACCCUUUGCCUCCUGUUGUUAAACUUCAUGUAUUGCGGUGCUGCAUAUUAUCCCACCCUUUGCUGCCAGUUCCGGUGCUACGAUUCCUGCUCGUAGCGAAGGCUAUCGCUGUUUUUCGAUCCUGCUGCUGUGACAUCCUGACCAAAUAUUUUUAUUCAACUGAACAUUAAGCAUGCUGCGGAAAACCGUUCGUUUCGCCAUAUUGAUCAGCAGCUGUAAGAUACCACGAAGGAAACCAACAAUAAUACUGGAUUUGACGGGUCUGGAGCAUCCCCAGAAGCAGGUUAGAGAAGGUUAGCAGGCCAUUGGAGGAACAAUCCACAGCGGAGCUAUCGAUAAAUCGCUUGGGGAACGUGGACAUUUGCGUGAUUCGGACUAAAAAUUGAAAGCAAAGGCUGCUAUUUCCGAGGCUAUUCGUUUUCGUACCGAGGGCUGAUUUUCUUUGCUACUAUGCGAUGCCAAAGAAGCUUCCACACCGAUGAUCUUGAUUCAACGAUCUUUGCACCUGUGGUGACGGAACGGGGCUUUCACAGUACUUCCAGCAUCCUUACUGCUCUCACAAGUUUCGGGAUUAUAUACCGUCAAAUCUCUACACGGCUACUGCGGAGCAGCCUAGCAGGUGACCCGGUACCUGCUGCGGUUAACGCUUACUGACCCGAAGCUGCUACUGAUCAUCCAGCCAGUUCCGGUUUCGUCGAUCGCGUAAUUUUAAUAUUUCGGUAAUCAGUUUCGCUAAUUGCCCAACAUCCAACAACGAAUAGGUUGAUAAAGACUGUAUAUUGUAAAUAUAUUUAUAUAGUAGAAUUAAAUUAAGAAGGCAUGCCAAAAAGCUGCCAGCUGUUGAUGAAUAUAAAAAAAAUGAUAAUAAUGUGCACUAUAGGCUUAUUUGUUUCGUUUUUUUUUGCGAAAUAUUGAUUUGUUUAUAUAUUUGCCCGGUAUGGUACAUAAUCAACAGAGCGAGAUGCAUCACUCCAGCAUGCUGAUGAUCUCAGUAACGGAGAUUAAACCGGGUGCGACUGCGACUGUCUCCAACAGAACAAACAAGCUCUCGUCAAAGCUGUCCAUAUGCAUGUGUACAAGAGCCAAGAAUAGCAUUAUCCAUUCUUUUAGGUAAUCAUUUACAGUAUAAUAAAAAUAAUACCUAAUCUAUUUUUUCGCAACAUUUUGUUACAUAGUUAGAAAUCAUGAUAUUCAUUUGAUUGUAAUUCAGAUUAAAUUGAUUUGGUUUUAUUGAGUAAUAAACUUUUAUUUUAAAUCACUUAAAGUAAAUUAUUAUUUGGUUUUAUUUAGGUUUUUAUUCAACCAAAUAUUUUUUUUAGGUAAUUUGUUUUCGAAAUUGUUCUUUUUCAACUUAGAACCUUAGCUUAAUGAUAGAAAUAGCUGACGCUGUUGCCAUUGCUUCUUCGUCUUCAACUCGACGGAGCAUAACUCCAACAAUUAAGAUUCUCGAAGUAACUAGUUGUAUUAGGGAAUCAAUUUUGAUGUGAUUCAAACGCUGCCAGCGAUAACGAAAAUAUGAGGUGAAACUGAUUUACUCAAAGUCACAAUAGGUUGGAGAAUGAAUAGCCAAACAGUU